CCGUCUUGCUCAAGAUAUGCUGCAUCUGCUCUAUUCCCUUCUUAGGAGGGUCCAAGCCCAAGAGCUCGAGUUGGUAAUCUGGGUGCUAGCCUAGAAAUUCUGGUGGCAUUGCGUGUGGCUCAGGGGUGCCAGUUCUGCUUGUUAAUACGUAUACAUAUCAUGGCUUGUUAAUCUUGAUUGCUCUUACCUAGAGAAUAUUGUAUAAUACUUCAAAGGUCGAUUGAUAGCUUGGGCUUUCGACUAGAUCGAGCAUGCUUGCGGAUUUUGUUGGCAUGGUAAGAAUUCAAUAUGUAAUGAUUUUUCUGGUAACUUGCCUCUACUAAUAAUGUUGGCAUUAAUAUCCUAAAUGGUGGAAAGUAAAGAUCAUAGUUACCGAAUUUUAUGCUUAUAUGUGGUGAUCCACUUUACACAUAUUAGAGUUCGUUUUUCCUGUGUGUAAUUACUGUACCAACUUGUUGUGUUGACUGCUUCAUAUUUGUAAAAAGGAGCACAAAAGAUGAGUUAUUAAUUACUAGUAUUAAUUUUUUGUCUCGUGUACCAAUGUCUGCGCAUGAUAGACUUAUGUUAUUUACCAAUGUGUAUCAUCAUGUGAAAUGUUAAGUAUUUGUGAUUGAAGCAAGCAAGCAGUGUUAAGCUAGUUUUCUACUAGUUGACACUUGGCAGUAUGUUCCAUUCUUUGCUCUCAUUCCGUGCACACCAAAGUCUACAAGCAUGCAAGGUCCUUUAUGCUUUCAUUCUUAAUAGUUAAACGACAAUACUGAGUAAUAUAUAAUAGAAAAUAGAAACAUUCCCUACUUGGAAGUCUUACUACCAAAAAUCAUCUUUUUACAUUUGCACUUCAUAAAAUUUAGUACCAGAAACUGCUUUCUAUAUAGGUGAUUCACAACUUCAAAAUCACUUGUUUUGGUCCGUAUUAUAAGUUUUGAUUGCUGCUGUGAUACAUGACAAGAAAAAAAGAGCUAAUAUGUGAAUUAUGCUAUAUAGAGUAGCUAUUGGAUUUGGUAAUAGGACAUGGUUGCUACUUUUAGCAUUAGUCCUUGAUAGCGCGGACUUUAUCCAUGUAAAGAACAUUUAGAAAUUUAUAACUCGAUCUUAGCAUUUAGGCAUUUAGUUUGUUAUUGCCUUCACAAUGGUAUUAUCUUGAUUUUUUUACUCUGGUAUUGAACAUUCAUAUCUUUUACUUUUAUGCCUUGCCAAAAAAUGGCGUGUGAAUAAAAAUGGGUCUCGCACCAUUUGUCCAAUGAGUUCUGCAGAGGAAGAUACGGCUCACUGUUGUUGUUACUGUAGAGGAUGUCGCCCUUGUUGCUGAUGCAGCUGUCAUGUCCCACGGCUCGACCGUUGAUGACCAGUGCUUCAUUGAGUUAGAGGAUUCUAGGAACCCGCUCGCCGGCAUCACCAUCAAGCAUGUUGUCUAGCCUAGCUUCUUGUUCAAGUUGGUAGUCACAUGCAACACUGGUGCAAUUAGCUGUUUGCCAUGGCGCUGCCUCAUGUUGUCCUGCAUACUGGAACGUGAUUUUUCUCCAACAGGAUUCCCAAUCUAUCAUGAAAAAUGUCACGAGUAGUGUGGCUAGAAUCAAGAAGGCUACCAGAGUAGUGUGGCUAGAAUCAAGAAGGCCAUUUAUAAACUCUGCAUGGAGAUGAUUAAGAUGACAUGAAUGUACCAGAUUUGCAUGUCUGCUGCUGGCCAUGCUUCACGAGCUGGACCCUGCAUGUUCAGAGAGCAAGGCUUACUGGGAAGUAGCGAAGAAUGAUCCUAAUUUUCCAUAGUCUCUCAUACAUGAACUUGAGCAACUCUGCAAUA